rnacentral:rRNA from 1 species
UCUAGAGCUAAUACAUGUACCUCGGGCAGUUUCGGCUGUCUUGGCAUUUAUUAGAGCGAUACCAACCGUGUGAGCAAUUACACGAGGUGAAUCUAGAUAACUGUGCAGAUCGUAUGGCCUUGAGCUGACGACAUUUCGAUUGAGUUUCUGCCCUAUCAACCAGUUGCAAGUGUAAGGUACUUGCAAAGUGUCAACGGGUAACGGGGGAUCAGGGUUCGAUUCCGGAGAGGGAGCCUGAGAAACGGCUACCACAUCCAAGGAAGGCAGCAGGCGCGCAAAUUACCCAAUCCAGACAAUGGGAGGUGGUGACGAAAAGUACUAGGUGGCGACAAUGUUGCCAGCCUGGAAUGAAUACAAUUUAAGCAAUUGAAUUGAGUAACGACUGGAGGGCAAGUCUGGUGCCAGCAGCCGCGGUAAUUCCAGCUCCAGUAGCCUAUCUCAAAGUUGCUGCGCUUAAAACGCUCGUAGUUGGAUCACGCACUUUGUGUUGGUGUGCGACCUGGUGCGAUGUAACCGAAUUUGCAGUUCGGCACAUCGAAGUCACGGUCGCUAUUAGCCGAUGCAAAGUAAUUGCACGUGAGGAUGGUUGUUGGCCUUUAGUGUGUCGAUGAUUGUGUCUCACGGGGUGUGCCUUGAGUAAAUCAGAGUGCUCAAAGCAGGCGAAUGCCUGAAUGUUGAUAGCAUGGAACGAACAAUCGUGUAGGGUGUGUGCUGGUUACGGUGCGUCGUUUGACCAUCGCAGCACACGACACCGACCACCAAUUACGGAUGUUGGUUCCGUAUUGGGGUACUGAUUAAAAGGAGCGGUUGGGGGCAUUGGUAUU